rnacentral:rRNA from 1 species
ACUCAAAUGAAUUGACGGGGGCCCGCACAAGCGGUGGAGCAUGUGGUUCAAUUCGACGCAACGCGAAGAACCUUACCUGGGCUCGAAAUGCAGUGCACCGGGGUAGAAAUAUCCCUUCCCGCAAGGGGUGCUGCAUAGGUGCUGCAUGGCUGUCGUCAGCUCGUGUCGUGAGAUGUUGGGUUAAGUCCCGCAACGAGCGCAACCCUUAUUGUCAGUUGCCAUCAUUCAGUUGGGCACUCUGGCGAAACUGCCCCGGAUAACGGGGAGGAAGGUGGGGAUGACGUCAAGUCCUCAUGGCCUUUAUGUCCAGGGCUACACACGUGCUACAAUGGCCGGUACAAACCGUCGCAAACCCGCGAGGGGGAGCUAAUCGGAAAAAGCCGGUCUCAGUCCGGAUUGAAGUCUGCAACUCGACUUCAUGAAGCUGGAAUCGCUAGUAAUCGCGGAUCAGAACGCCGCGGUGAAUACGUUCCCGGGCCUUGUACACACCGCCCGU